CAUUAAUGAAAUUCCAGGAUAUAGCAUGUGUUUAUAUGAACUACAUGCCGAAUGCCAAUAUGUGUGGAGUGUGGUUGCUCACUGUAUAUGCAGAGUUGGGAUGUGACUGAAAACAUUGAAGUUUCGUUACCGUUGGAAGAUUUCAUGUACAUAGUACAUACUAUGCAAAAUGUGGAGUCAAUUGUACGCUGACGAAAGCUGCAAAACAACUGAGCCAGCUCCACAAGCACGACCUGACUGAAGAAUUAAAUCUUAUUUGUCUGUGAAUAUUUCGCUACGUAGCUUGUCAGCCUUCAAG